rnacentral:rRNA from 1 species
CAAACCCAUUUCUAAGGUUGACCUCGGAUCAGGUAGGGAUACCCGCUGAACUUAAGCAUAUCAAUAAGCGAGAGG